rnacentral:rRNA from 1 species
UGAGGAACGAAAGCCAGGGUAGCAAAUGGGAUUAGAUACCCCAGUAGUCCUGGCCGUAAACGAUGGAUACUAGGUGUUGCGGGUAUCGACCCCUGCAGUGCCGAAGCCAACGCGUUAAGUAUCCCGCCUGGGGAGUACGCACGCAAGUGUGAAACUCAAAGGAAUUGACGGGGACCCGCACAAGCGGUGGAACAUGUGGUUUAAUUCGAAGCAACGCGAAGAACCUUACCAGGGCUUGACAUCUGACGAAUACUUAUGAAAGUAGGUAGUGCUCUUCGGAGAGCGUCAAGACAGGUGGUGCACGGUUGUCGUCAGCUCGUGUCGUGAGAUGUUGGGUUAAGUCCCGCAACGAGCGCAACCCUCGUCGUUAGUUGGUACAUUUGGUAUACUGGAUGUAACCUCUCUAGCGAGACUGCCGGUGAUAAACCGGAGGAAGGUGAGGACGACGUCAAAUCAUCAUGCCCCUUAUGCUCUGGGCUACACACGUGUUACAAUGGCCGGUACAACGAGCCGCCAACUCGCGAGAGUGAGCAAAUCUCUAAAAGCCGGUCUCAGUUCGGAUUGCAGUCUGCAACUCGACUGCAUGAAGUCGGAAUCGCUA